rnacentral:lncRNA from 1 species
ACAGUUUUCAAAAGGUUUUCUGUGGAUUUUGUAUCUUAAUAUUUCAAAACCUGUUUCUGUGGUUGGAAACAUUUUAACUGAUAGAUGCGGAUUUAUGUUUAAAGAUUGAAUGUUAUAAAUGUGAAACUGUGGUGAAUGGUGUAUGAAUGUAUAACUGUUGGUUAUUUGUAUGUUCAUCUGGUUGUGGUUGUAUCAUGUUUGAACUCUUGUACUUGUGCGACGCCGUGCAAAUACAGGAGAGACUCUAUCCGUGUGAACAGUGGAUCUCCUGUAUUUGUGGCGGAUCUGGCAUACCCUGGGGUCAGGUUUUCAAAAAAAAAAAAAUAAAUUCAGACGUUUUUCCGCUAUGCUUUAAACUAAAAAGGGACCCCGGGGCGUGACACAUCGAAAAAUUGAUCUUUACUAUUUUGUAUGUAAUUGAUUUUUUCUGUUGCUAUAAAUAGUUCUACAUGAUCUUUUUGUUAAAUAGUUUUUCAAGCAUACUUGUUCUAACUAGUUCUUCGAGCACAUGUAUGUUUACUGUUAAUAGGAACGUAGUGCCAAAAAUAAAGCUAGUCGUGCAUUGCUAAGUACCACACAUACAGCUGGCACAAAAAGCUUUGCGAGGGUCCAUGCUGAGGUAAACUUAAUCCUCUCAAUUAUAGUCUUUUCAUUACUAACACUUUUAUAGAUUUUUGAUUGUUAUUGAAAGUUUAAUUUCUAAAUAUUGUUAGAUGGCAAAGAAAAAUAAUCAUAUUCAGCCGAGAAGACAUGAACUCUACAUAAGAAUACACACGAAGAAGAAUGACAAGCCUUUAAAUGAGUUUUGCUCAAAAAUAAUUGUAUGCCUUUACAUUUAGACAAAUUUUACAUUUUAUGAAAAAUGUUUCAAUUAGUCAAUUUAGUUUUCUUACUUUUUACAGAAAAAUAUUGGAGAUUUGGCUCCAUUACAUCUUGAAGUUGCACAAAAAAGUCCAUCCCGAAAUGACCUUUUAUCUUUGCUAAUUAAAGAAAAACGUUCACUACUUCAUUGUCAUGGGUUGGGUCCUAUUCCGGAUGAAUUUCGAAAAUCAAAGACAACUCGUGCUGAUUAUAUUCGAAUGCUUUCUGAGACCAAAAAAGAAGCCGAGGAGGAGAAACGUGUAAUGCAAGAAGAAUUAGCAGAUAUGAAACAAAAGUAUGAAGAUAUGCACAAUGAAAUGAUGACAAUGAAAGCAAUUUUAGUAGAAUCAAUAGGUAAAAAGGCUCAAAUAUUAGGGAGAAGGAAUAUCAUGCAUUCCACAAGGCCACAAGCUAGUAAGAAUAAUUUUUAAGCUAUUUUGUUUUAUGAUGUAUAUGAAAACUAAUAUAAUAUUAAUUCUUUCUUUCUAAUCUAGAGUGGCACCGUUUUCCUCGAUGAUAGAUCACCUCCUAAUAAUGGGCAAGCUCUUUCUCACUCUAGUUAUGAAGCACACCAACUCAGGUAUUUUUGUAAUCUUAAAUGACUUUCUUGAAUAAUUUUAUGAAAGUUUAGAAUUUUCAACAAAAUUAAUUAGUUCUAUUUUUUCUAAUCAUUUAGAUGCUUAGAGAGAUAAUUAAUAGCUAUUGCUACUUUAUUAGUUAGUUUAGCUUCUAUUUUCGAUAAAGUGAAAUCAUAGUUGUUUAUUUUUCUUUUUAAAGUAUAAACUAAUUUUAGAUCCUAAAUUUGUUAAUAUCCAAUUAUAUCGCAGGUACAUCGAGUUAAGACUACCUCCCAAGGAAAGUAAAGUUAUAUCAAAUAUUGUGGUUAUCUUCUAUUUUUUCUUCAAUCUCUUAUUCUUUCUAAGCUUUCAUGAUAAUUAUUUUCUAUGCAAUAUAUAUAUUUUAAAUUGUUAAUUUGUUUAUUCUUGUAUUAUUAGAUUGGGACUAGAAGUUUAUUAAGAAGUUUAAAAAAGCCUCACAAUUAUGUAGCACAAGGUUAUCUUUUGAGUAAAGACCCAACUACAAAAGUAGGUGGGUUUGAAUUAGGACACAAUAUUGGAAGAUUCAAGUUGAUCUGCGCAAGUACGCAAUGAACACUACUAUAGACCUUAUGGUGGCUAUCAAACUAUUGGAGAUGUUGUGGAGCAACUAUUGCUUGGCCAUAUACUUUUGUAAGGAAUUUUCAAUAAAAUUUUAUUUUUUUCAAUAUUUUCAAUAUGUAUAGUAUAAAAGAAGAUGCGCGCGCACAUUUCUCUUAUCAUUUUUUAUGAUCAAUGUUUAUAUGUGAGUUUUGUUAUGAUCACUUUAUAUGUUAUUACUUCGAUAUUGAAGUAUUUGUGUUUACAAAUAUUAUUUAAGGAAUUUUGGGAUGUUAGAUGUUUAACAAUUUAAAUAUGAAAUGUAUGAGUUGUUUAGUUGUGUUUAAAUAUUAAAGUAUGAGUUGUUUAGUUUGAUUGUAUUUUUACGUAUUGUAUU